rnacentral:lncRNA from 12 species
UAAAAUUGCAUGAUUAAAUGAUUCUGCAUGAAUGACAAAUCUCGUCCUCACAUUGAGCAGUGCAAAUCAGAUGGCAUUCAGAGAUCAAGUAUGGGUGCUGAGAGGCUGCAGAGAGUCUGUGAUUGACCUGAAUCAGGGAAAAGCUACAGUGAGAUCAACAGGGCAAGUGAAAACAUCGGUCCUACAGCACCAACAGGCUGAUGCACAAUCAGGAGUAAGAUGUUAGCACCACAUUAAGCACCCAUACCAAAGAACACCUAUCCAAACGAGGGUGGGACCAACUACCACAUGAGAAAAACCAGGUCCUUUGUGUGUGUGUGUGGAGGACAAGUUGUAACAGGAGCUGUCACCCAGCCAAACAGGUGACCACACAUUCCUGCCCUCAAAACACGCUCACUGAUAAGGUCCACACCAACACCAGACCUCUCGAAACGGCACUUCAGCAGCUGAUGGACAUGAAGGCUGGGUGACGACGUCAUUGAUUAGUAAUGAGGUAAUGAGCAGGAAUGCUGAGAGUCGCUGGAGAGAACAGAAACACAGGCCCCUCUGAUAAUGUGCAGCAUGUCUGGUCCAAGAAGGGCUUCAGCUUUAUAAGUAAAUGUGUUGGCAUGCGGCAAAAGUGAAUGACGUAAAUGGCUAACUUUAGAUCCCUGUGAAGAAAACUUUGUGCCCCCAUUUUCUCAGCUUCCAAAAGACUUGUACAUGCACUCUUGCAUGACGUUUUUCGUUCAUGCAUGCUUACAAAAACUAGAUGAAACAGUGAAUAGCAAGAAUGACGUGUGUGUUCUGGAUGAAAAAGCCAAACUCCAGAGAAAAAUGCCAUUUUUAGAAGCAAAUCGGCAUGUUCACGCGCAGCUGCCAGCUCGUCUCACGCUCCAGAUGUCUGCUCAGUGCUUUCACGGGAGAUUCACAACUCCAUCCAGGAAACAGCAAAGUUAUCCAACUCGACUGUUCUGGCGCUCCUGGAGUGUUUCAGCCCUGCCGCAAAGUUUCCUUUACUCAUGAAUAACAAAAGCAGAGCUCCGGCGCGUCCCGAGCCUCUCCACAGCUCCGCC